GUAGUGGUUGAACUUGAGUUUGUGUGUUUGUUGAAUUUGAAUUUGUGUUAUGUUUCAACUUGAGUUUGUGGUGUUUUUGAACUUUAGUUUGUGUGUUUGUUGAACUUCAGUUUUUGUUGUGUUUGAACUUGAGUUUGUGGCAUUUUUGAACUUGAUUUUUUGUUUUUGUUGAACUUGAGUUUGUUUGAUUGUUGACCUUGAGUUUGUGUCGUGUUUGAACUUGAGUUUGUCGUGUUUGAACUUGAGUUUUGGGCAUUUGUUGAACUUGAGUUUGUGUCGUUUUUGAACUUGCCUUUGUGGUGUUUUUGAACUUGAGGGUGUGGAAUUGUUUGGACUUGAGGUUGUAGCAAUUGUUAAACAAUUGUUGAACUUGGGUUUUUGUUGCGUUUGAACUUGAAUUUGUGGUGUUUUUUGAACUUGAGUCUGUUGUUUUUGAACUUGAGGUUGUGGAAAUUGUUAAACUUUAGAAUCAGUUGUCUGUUGAACUUGAGUUAGUGUGUUUGUUAAACUUGAGUUUGUGUUGUGUUUGAAAUUGAGUUUUUGGUGUUUUUGAACUUUCGUGUUUUUUUUCGUGUUUGAAUUUGAAUUUGUGGCAUUUGUUGAACUUGAGUUUGUGUGUUUGUUGAACUUGAGGUUGUGGCAAUUGUUAAACUUGAGAUUUUGGUGUUGGAUGAACUUGAGAUUGUGUUGUGUUUGAAUUUGAGUUUGUGGAAUUUGUUGAACUUGAGGUUGUGGCAAUUGUUAAACUUGAGUUUGUGUGUUUGUUGAACUUGAGUUUGUGUCAUGUUUGAACUUAAGUUUGUUUGUUUGUUUAACUUGAGAUUGUGGCAAUUGUUAAACUUGAGAUUUGGGUGUUGGUUGAACUUGAUUUUGUGUCAUGUUUGAUCUUGAGUUUGUGUGUUUGUUGAACUUGAGGGUGUGGAAUUUGUUAAACUUGAGGUUUUGGCAAUUGUAAAUUUUGAGUUUGUGUGUUUGUUGAACUUUAGUUUGUGUUAUGUUUGAACUUGAAUUUGUGUGUUUGUUGAACUUGAGUUUAUGUUGUGUUUGAACUUGAAUUUGUGUGUUUGUUGAACUUGAGUUUUUGUGUUUGUUGAACUUUAGUUUGUGUUGUGUUUGAACUUGAGUUCAUGGUGUUUUUGAGAUUGAGUUUGUGUCGUGUUUGAACUUGAGUUCGUGUCAUGUUUGAACUUGAGUUUGUGGUGUUGUUGAACUUUGUUGAACUAACCUAACACCCGGGUAUUACCUUCAGGAAGCCCGAACACCCCAAUUUUUUUUUUUUUUGUUUUUCUUUUUUUUUUUGGUCUAACUAACUCAAAAGGUUGGAAAAGAGUUCCUACAAAGGUUUUGGACAGUGAU